rnacentral:rRNA from 1 species
AGUGUCUGGUGGGUAGUUUGACUGGGGCGGUCUCCUCCCAAAGCGUAACGGAGGAGCACGAAGGUUAGCUAAUCCUGGUCGGACAUCAGGAGGUUAGUGCAAUGGCAUAAGCUAGCUUGACUGCGAGCGUGACGGCGCGAGCAGGUGCGAAAGCAGGUCAUAGUGAUCCGGUGGUUCUGAAUGGAAGGGCCAUCGCUCAACGGAUAAAAGGUACUCCGGGGAUAACAGGCUGAUACCGCCCAAGAGUUCAUAUCGACGGCGGUGUUUGGCACCUCGAUGUCGGCUCAUCACAUCCUGGGGCUGAAGUAGGUCCCAAGGGUAUGGCUGUUCGCCAUUUAAAGUGGUACGCGAGCUGGGUUUAGAACGUCGUGAGACAGUUCGGUCCCUAUCUGCCGUGGGCGCUGGAGAAUUGAGGGGGGCUGCUCCUAGUACGAGAGGACCGGAGUGGACGCAUCACUGGUGUUCGGGUUGUCAUGCCAAUGGCACUGCCCGGUAGCUAAAUGCGGAAGAGAUAAGUGCUGAAAGCAUCUAAGCACGAAACUUGCCCCGAGAUGAGUUCUCCCUGAGACUU